UACGUAGGGGGCUAGCGUUGUCCGGAAUUAUUGGGCGUAAAGAGCUCGUAGGCGGUCUGUCGCGUCUGCUGUGAAAACCCGAGGCUCAACCUCGGGCCUGCAGUGGGUACGGGCAGACUAGAGUGCGGUAGGGGAGAAUGGAAUUCCUGGUGUAGCGGUGGAAUGCGCAGAUAUCAGGAGGAACACCGAUGGCGAAGGCAGUUCUCUGGGCCGUAACUGACGCUGAGGAGCGAAAGCGUGGGGAGCGAACAGG
rnacentral:rRNA from 1 species